AAUAUUGCACAGAAUUUUAGUUAUUUGGGACAACGAAACAAAAGAAAUUUCAGUGCUCUCAAGAUAUGCACAAUCCUAAACAGAGUGGUACGAAUGCAUAAACCGGAAGCAAAGAAUACAGAGAUUGCUGAAAUUGUAUCAAGUUGGCUAGUACAUGCUAAGUGGCGUCAGCAAAGAGCAGAAAUAAAAAUAAAAAAGCAACAGCAGCCAGCAGAUGAAGAAAAUCAAUAAAGAAGAUACGAUCUUUAAUUGCAUUAAAGAAUAAUAAUUUUUUUUAAACUUUCUCUACGAUCUUCCAAACCGACGGAUUGAUUUUAUUUUAAAAGACAUCACCUUCAAAGAAAGAAGAAAUUAAAAGACAUCAAAGUUAAAAGACAUCGACUUCAAAGAAAGAAGAAAUAAUUUAUAUUAAAAUCAAAUAUUUCGUUAUUUUAUUUUUUUUUCAUUUUAUUCAUUUAUUUUGUAAUUGAUUUUAUGUAAGGGAGGCUUCGGUCCCUACGAUUCGAGUCGCUGCUGUUGUCGUAUCGCUGUGUCGUUUACACCUUAUCCCUGGGGUAGCCAGGAGCCCAAGAAAGGGGGUUCAAGGCAUGCCGGAUGCACAUUAGCCGUGGG